GAUGAACGCUGGCGGCGUGCCUAACACAUGCAAGUCGAGCGAACGGACGAGAAGCUUUCUCUUCUGAUUUUAUCGGCGGACGGGUGAGUCACUCGUGGAUAACCUACCUAUAAGACUGGGAUAACUUCGGGAAACCGGAUCUAAUACCGGAUAAUAUUUUGCACCUCAUUGUUCAAGAGUUAAAUACGGUCUUUCUUUCACUUAUAGAUGGAUCCGCGCUGCAUUAACUAGUUGGUAAGGUAACGGCUUACCAAGGCAACGAUGCAUAGCCGACCUGAGAGGGUGAACGGACACACGGGAACUGAGAAACGGUCCAGACUCCUACGGGAAGCAGCAGUAGGGAAUCUUCCGCAAGGGGCGAGAGCCGGACGGAGCAAAGCCGCGGGAGGGAUGAAGGACUAAGGAUCGGAAAGCUCUGUUGGUAGGGAAGAACAUAUGUGUAAGUAACUGUGAAGAUCUUGACGGUACCUAAUCAGAAAGCCACGGCUAACUACGUG
rnacentral:rRNA from 1 species